AUUACAUUAAAUAGGCACUUUUGAAUUUUUUGCCUAUUUAAAAAAAAUAUACCAGUAAUGGCACAAGGAUAGAUGAUGUGUGGAAUCAAAUAGGUAACAACUAUAGUGAUAAUGAAAUAUUCUAAUAAUAACCAGUUUUUUAAUGUUUUGACUUAAUGGACUUAUUGUAUGAUGAUAUAUGCGACCAGUUAGAAUAGUGGACAAUGAAAUAUUCAAACAUGGAACUGACUGAAGUUAAUAGACUUAAAAUUCAGAAUUGAAACCAGCAAGUGAAUUAUUUACAACGGCCUUGGAACCAGCAAGUGAAUUAUUGACAUUUAUUUUGAUGUGACCAGUAUUCAUGUGGAUGGACAGUACUAGUGGACUAUAAACUGAUAAAUCUCACAGAAAGGCACAUCACAACUGAGUCUGAAGCUGUUACAUACAAAAGACAAGAUAUCCAGGAAAUAAGAAUUGUAUGUGAUCUAUUUAAAGAUCUUAGGACAGUAGGACCUGGAAGUACUAUAUUACCAACUUCAAGAUUAACUGAGCUUGAGAAAUUACAAAUGAACUGAUACAGAAGAAGAGACUUUGCCAUGUGGAUGAACUUGGAAACAAUUAUUGACAAACAAUAUAGUGUAUUAGUAUUCUUGUAAAAAUCAAUAGAGAAAGAGAGAGAGAGAGGAAGGAUAGGAGAGAGUCAGUUGUAAAGAUUUAUGUCUUUUUAACCAGACAUGUCUAUUACAUUAGAAUUUCAGAGGCCUACAGUUCUCCCUUAAAUGAUCAUAGUUAAUACAUGAAGUAGUUAAAGUAGAGGACUUUAGUGUGACCAGUGAGAACAAUCAAGCAGCUGCCAUUGGUUUAAAUCUCUUUUUUCGAAGAUGUUUUGGUUACAUUAGAAUAAAUCUGUGAGGAAUGACAAAAAAAAUGUAAAAAAAAUAAUUUGUGGUAUUUUGUACAGUUUCAUUAUGCAAUCUUGAAUACAUUUAUGAUUACUAUUUAUAAAGAAGUAUUAUCAUUAGAAUGAGGAUGGAAAAUGUUUAAACAUUUAUUUGAGACAGAGUUUUGCAUUAUUCCAUUAAAAUAAUUAAAUCCUUUUUGUGUGAAUGAAGGACAAACAGGGAAAACAGACAAAGCUGCUAUUCUAUGAAUUUUAAAUUGUAUUUAUUUACAUUUGAUUGAUUAGUUGAAGAUUAACUACAAGUAUUCAGCAUAGUACAAAAUUAAGGAUGCACUGCAAGUGUAUAUUAUCUUUAUAGUUAUCAUCACACUAUGUCCAAUCUAGAUGUACAACACUCUUUUUUAUAGUGUUCUGUAAAUUAAUAGGAACACCAGUUGUGAUGAAUGGGAAGACUGGCAGGCUGAGAAAUGGGUAUAAGGGGAGGGAAUACCCCUGCUUAUCUUUUCAUACUGGUUAGUUCCUUUGGUAAAGGUUUUGUACAAAUGUUGUUCAUAUCAGAUGUAUACAAUUUGAAGAGAGUUGUUAUUUGGAGCUCUGUAAAAAAAAAAAAAAAAAAAAAGAAUAGUAAUCAGAGUUCUAGAUAAUAACUGGGUGGUAUGAAAUGUGGGUUAAAUAUUUUCGGUAUAUUUACAAUGAUUUUUUUUUUUUUUAUGCAUCUGAUAUUUUUUGUGUAUAAAAUGUUUUGUUAUUUUUUACAGAA